rnacentral:rRNA from 1 species
AUUGAACGCUGGCGGCAUGCCUUACACAUGCAAGUCGAACGGCAGCACGGGAGCAAUCCUGGUGGCGAGUGGCGAACGGGUGAGUAAUAUAUCGGAACGUGCCCAGUCGUGGGGAUAACGUAGCGAAAGCUACGCUAAUACCGCAUACGAUCUAUGGAUGAAAGCGGGGGAUCGCAAGACCUCGCGCGAUUGGAGCGGCCGAUAUCAGAUUAGGUAGUUGGUGAGGUAAAGGCUCACCAAGCCGACGAUCUGUAGCUGGUCUGAGAGGACGACCAGCCACACUGGGACUGAGACACGGCCCAGACUCCUACGGGAGGCAGCAGUGGGGAAUUUUUGGACAAUGGGCGCAAGCCUGAUCCAGCAAUGCCGCGUGCAGGAUGAAGGCCUCGGUUGUAACUAGCUUUGUUACGGUAACGAAAC